rnacentral:lncRNA from 1 species
AUAUCUCAUAUGGAGUGCUCGUAAUAGAUUUUAUUGGUAUCUAAAUCAGAAUAGUAAUUUUUAGGGUAUAUUCUCAUAAUGAGAAUUAAAAUUUAUAAAGUAUAUUAGAAAACACACCAUAUCUCAUAUGAAGUGUCAAUCUCUAGGUUAAGAUAUUAUUAACCUUCAAACAUCCAUAAGACUUAAUACCUUGCUUGCCCUG